rnacentral:rRNA from 2 species
CACUAAGCGGAGGAAAAGAAACUAACCAGGAUUCCCCUAGUAACGGCGAGUGAACGGGGAUGAGCCCAGCACCGAAGCCUGUGUCCACUUGGAUGCUAGGCACUGUGGUGUUUAGGUGGUGACAUGUCGGCCCAUCUGCUGUCCCAAGUCCAGUAAUGAAUAUGGCUCUUGUAUUGGCCCAGAGAGGGUGAAAGGCCCGUGGGGGCGGUUAUGUUGGGUUGACUAGUUCCACCUUGGAGUCGGGUUGUUUGUGAAUGCAGCCCAAAGUGGGUGGUAGACUCCAUCUAAGGCUAAAUACUGGCACGAGUCCGAUAGCGAACAAGUACCGUGAGGGAAAGUUGAAAAGUACUCUGAAGAGAGAGUAAACAGUGCGUGAAACCGCUAAGAGGUAAACGGGUGUAGUCAAGCUGCAAGCCCUUGGGGAUUCAGCCAAUCAGUAUGACGUGUGUGCGUGAGCACAUUAUUUAAGCGUUGCGGUCUGCCUAGACUGGCGGGCUUGGCUUUUCUUUGGCCGAGUGCUCGGGUGCCAAGUGGGCAUUGAGCGCCGUGCGUUCUAAGUGGCUGGUUGGUGCACUUCCUCAGGGUGUGAGCCACGACCGCUUUAGCUGCCGGUCUGCCGGGGUCAACCGGCUUGGUCGGACCCUCAGGUUCGGCUGUGUCGGGAUGGCAGGUAGCUUGGUGUGCUUGCAUGCCAAGUAUUAUAGCCGAUCCUCGUGCAGUUAUAAACUGUGCAGUACAGUGGAGAUAUCGAUGUGUUGGCAACGGCCUUCGCGCUAAAGCUUGCCGGCAUGGUCAACGUCUGGCUGCCUGUAGUCGAUGUAAAUAUCGGCCUGGCGGCGGCUUGAUCAUGGUGUAGUGGGCGGCGGCGUGGGUUAGCCAUCGGUCUUGUACCGAUUCGUCGUCUAUAGUCUGUGGCAUAGUGGUAGACGAUCCACCCGACCCGUCUUGAAACACGGACCAAGGAGUUUAACAUGUGCGCGAGUCAAUGGGUGUUCAUAUACUUCACGAAACCCAGAGGCGCAGUGAAAGUGAAGGUCUUGUUUUGGUUUGUUGGUGUCCCCGUGAUGCCUUCAGAUCUGGCAGGCUAAGGUGAGAUCCUGUUGGCACCUGAGCAGACUUGUUCAUGCAGUAUGGUCCAGCGGGCGCAUCACCGGCCCGUCCCAUGGUGUAUUUCAUCGGGGCGGAGCAAGAGCGUACAUGUUGAGACCCGAAAGAUGGUGAACUAUGCUUGCGCAGGUUGAAGCCGGAGGAAACUCUGGUGGAGGACCGUAGCGAUUCUGACGUGCAAAUCGAUCGUAUGACGUGAGUAUAGGGGCGAAAGACUAAUCGAACCAUCUAGUAGCUGGUUCCCU